rnacentral:rRNA from 1 species
UACAGAGGGGGCUAGCGUUGUUCGGAAUUACUGGGCGUAAAGGGCGCGUAGGUGGCCUGUUAAGUCGAACGUGAAAUCCCCGGGCUCAACCCGGGAACUGCGUCCGAGACUGGCAGGCUCGGAAUCCGGGAGAGGGAUGGUGGAAUUCCAGGUGUAGCGGUGAAAUGCGUAGAUAUCUGGAGGAACACCCGUGGUGCAGACGGCUUGCUGGACCGUGACUGACGCUGAGGCACGAAAGCGUGGGUAGCAA